UGGAUGAUGUGGAUUAAUUCGAUGCAACGCGAAAACCUUACCUACCCUUGACAUGUCCGGAAUCCCGAAGAGAUUUGGGAGUGCUCGCAAGAGAGCCGGAACACAGGUGCUGCAUGGCUGUCGUCAGCUCGUGUCGUGAGAUGUUGGGUUAAGUCCCGCAACGAGCGCAACCCUUGUCAUUAGUUGCCAUCAUUUGGUUGGGCACUCUAAUGAGACUGCCGGUGACAAACCGGAGGGAAAGGUGGGGAUGACGUCAAGUCCUCAUGGCCCUUAUGGGUAGGGCUUCACACGUCAUACAAUGGUCGGUACAGAGGGUUGCCAACCCGCGAGGGGGAGCUAAUCCCACAAAGCCGAUCGUAGUCCGGAUCGCAGUCUGCAACUCGACUGCGUGAAGUCGGAAUCGCUAGUAAUCGUGGAUCAGCAUGUCACGGUGAAUACGUUCCCGGGUCUU
rnacentral:rRNA from 1 species